rnacentral:rRNA from 1 species
CGCCCUUAGAGUUUGAUCCUGGCUCAGGAUGAACGCUGGCGGCGCGCCUAACACAUGCAAGUCGAACGGCACCCAUCUUCGGAUGGAAGCGAGUGGCGAACGGCUGAGUAACACGUGGAGAACCUGCCCCCUCCCCCGGGAUAGCCGCCCGAAAGGACGGGUAAUACCGGAUACCCCGGGGUGCCGCAUGGCACCCCGGCUAAAGCCCCGACGGGAGGGGAUGGCUCCGCGGCCCAUCAGGUAGACGGCGGGGUGACGGCCCACCGUGCCGACAACGGGUAGCCGGGUUGAGAGACCGACCGGCCAGAUUGGGACUGAGACACGGCCCAGACUCCUACGGGAGGCAGCAGUGGGGAAUCUUGCGCAAUGGGGGGAACCCUGACGCAGCGACGCCGCGUGCGGGACGGAGGCCUUCGGGUCGUAAACCGCUUUCAGCAGGGAAGAGUCAAGACUGUACCUGCAGAAGAAGCCCCGGCUAACUACGUGCCAGCAGCCGCGGUAAUACGUAGGGGGCGAGCGUUAUCCGGAUUCAUUGGGCGUAAAGCGCGCGUAGGCGGCCCGGCAGGCCGGGGGUCGAAGCGGGGGGCUCAACCCCCCGAAGCCCCCGGAACCUCCGCGGCUUGGGUCCGGUAGGGGAGGGUGGAACACCCGGUGUAGCGGUGGAAUGCGCAGAUAUCGGGUGGAACACCGGUGGCGAAGGCGGCCCUCUGGGCCGAGACCGACGCUGAGGCGCGAAAGCUGGGGGAGCGAACAGGAUUAGAUACCCUGGUAGUCCCAGCCGUAAACGAUGGACGCUAGGUGUGGGGGGACGAUCCCCCCGUGCCGCAGCCAACGCUAUUAAGCGUCCCGCUCUGGGGAGUACGGCCGCAAGGCUAAAAC